CCGCCAGAGAACUACAAGUGAAAAACUUAAAACUCAAAGGACUUGACGGUGUCCCAUAUCGACCUAGAGGAGCCUGUCCUAUAAUCGAUACCCCCCGUUCCACCCAACCCCAACUAGCAAAAUACCAGCCUAUAUACCGCCGUCGACAGUUUACCCUAUGAAGGCCCAAUAGUAAACACAAUAACCCUAUAACGUUAAUACGUCAGGUCAAGGUGUAGCAGAUGUUGAGGAAGAGAUUGGCUACAUUUUUUAUAAUAAAAAACACGAAUUGCACCAUGAAACACUGCAUGAAGGUGAAUUUAGUAGUAAAAC
rnacentral:rRNA from 1 species